rnacentral:rRNA from 1 species
AGUUUAUCUGGCUCAGACGAACGCUGGCGGCGUGCUUAACACAUGCAAGUCGAACGGAGAUUCACAAUGGAUCUUAGUGGCGAACGGGUGAGUAACGCGUAGGCAAUCUGCCUUCUAGAUGGGACAACAUCCCGAAAGGGGUGCUAAUACCGAAUGUUGUACCGUUUCCGCAUGGAGAUGAUCUAAAGGUGGCCUCUGAAUAUGCUACCGCUAGAAGAUGAGCCUGCGUCUGAUUAGCUAGUGGAGGGGUAACGGCCCACCAAGGCUUCGAUCAGUAGCCGGUCUGAGAGGAUGAACGGCACACUGGGACUGAGACACGGCCCAGACUCCUACGGGAGGCAGCAGUGGGGAAUCUUCCGAAUGGACGAAAGUCUGACGGAGCAACGCCGCGUGAGUGAAGAAGGUUUUCGGAUCGUAAGCUCUUUCGUUAGGGACGAACGUGCUCUUUGUGAAUAAUGAGGAGUAAUGACGGUACCUAAUAAGAAGCCACGGCUAACUACGUGCCAGCAGCCGCGGUAAUACGUAGGUGGCAAGCGUGUCCGGAAUUAUUGGGCGUAAAGCGCGCGCAGGCGGGAUAUCAAGUCUGUCUUAAAAGGCGAGGCUCAACCUCGUGAGGGGACAGAAACUGGUAUUCUUGAGUGUCGGAGAGGAAAGGGAAUUCCAAGUGUAGCGGUGAAAUGCGUAGAGAUUUGGAAGAACACCAGUGGCGAAGGGACUUUCUGGACGAUGUCUGACGCUGAGGCGCGAAAGCUAGGGGAGCGAACGGGAUUAGUACCCCGGUAGUCCUAGCCGUAAACGAUGGGUACUAGGUGUAGGGGGUAUCGACCCCUCUGUGCCGGAGUUAACGCAAUAAGUACCCCGCCUGGGGAGUACGGCCGCAAGGUUGAAACCAAAUGAAUUGACGGGG